CCCUCACAGCCAAGGAUCCCUCACUCCAGCUUUUCCUCAGCCCAGGAUUCCCCAUUCCUGCUUUUCCUGGAUCCAUGGGAUCCUCACAGCCCAGGAAUUCCCAGGAUGGUUUGCACUGCCCAGAGCACAUCCAGGUUUCAUUUUGGCGCUUCAGGAGCGAUUCCCCGUCUCCUUCUCUCCCUCCUUCCCUUUUAUUUUAAAAAACAAUAUUUACAAAGCCACGGAAAUGAAGCAAGAUUACCUCGUUAGCUGGAAUGGGGAUCAUUACCAUAUUUUAUGAAUAUUCAUGGCAUUUUUCACCUCCUACCUUUACAAAUAUUUGCAUUUCGAGGCAGUCUCGCUUUAAAAUUCAGAAAAAUCCGACAAAACCAA